rnacentral:lncRNA from 1 species
GCAACAAAAAGAUAAUUUAUUAUGCUUUACAUUAUUUUUAUUAUUAUUCUUUUACACAUGGGCUUGAAUUUGAGAGUUUAUAACUUUGUUAAACAGCAUAAAUUUAUUGAAAAUAAACAUGACCAUCGGUUUUGUGAGUAAGAAUCAUCUUUGGAGACAGGCAGCUGUCGCCAUUUCCAUCUAAGGUCAUAACUUCUAUUCGAGAUAAUCUGGAGAGGAGGUACAAAUAAGAUCUGGCUAUAAGGUAAUACUCUUGUUUUAGGUAAGGUAGGCUGUAUAACUAGGGUUCCUCUGAGGGGUGACUGACUUGUCAACAUAGGUUGAUCAGGUUGCCACCAGUUAACAUGUUGUUAGAGAUAAAAGGAAUGGGCAACUAAUUUUCCUUCAGAAAAAAUGAUGCAGAUGUUAGGCAUAAGGUUGGACUUCCUACUAGGGCUACUUUGCACUUAAUAUUUACAAGAAUUGCAUUGUGGAACUCAAUUUUUGUGCCGGAGCAAGGACAGUGACAGGCAAGGUUCCUUAAAGGGCAACCUAGGUAUCAGGUAUAAGGUGUGUGAAACAACAUGUUGGUUUGGUUGGUCAUACACAUUGGUUUCCAAAUUUGUUAAUAAGUGUUAGUCUUUGCAGGCUUCAAAGUUAAAUAGUUACAAUGAAGAUGCUUAAAUACAAGAUCGUUAAAGGGCAACCUAGGUAUCAGGUAUAAGGUGUGUGAAACAACAUGUAGGUUUGGUUGGUCAUGCACAUUGGUUUCCAAAUAUGUUAAUAAGUGUUAGUCUUUGUAGGCUUCAAAGUUAAAUAGUUACAAUGACAGGUAAGGUUCCUUAAAGGGCAACCUAGGUAUCAGGUAUAAGGUGUGUGAAACAACAUGUAGGUUUGGUUGGUCAUACACAUUGGUUUCCAAAUUUGUUGAUAAGUGUUAGUCUUUGUAGGCUUCAAAGUUAAAUAGUUACAAUGAAGAUGCUUAAAUACAAGAUCCAAAAGAAAUGUGGUUUUCUAGUUUCUAGGUUGAUUAUACUGGUUCCAUAUAAAGAAAAAGUUGAUGUGCUUAUUAGCAUCAUUAACCCAUGCAAGUAUGCAUGUUCAUGAAUAGCAUUCUUUAAUGAUUCGUGAAAAGAGUAUUUGACUUUCCCUUUUGAACUUGCUUUGUUGCUCAUGGACCCAAUUUUGCUUAUAUUUCCAAAAAAAGGGCAUCCUAGCAUAUGAGUAUUGGAAUUCUGGGUUUGGUGCAUGCAUAUGUGUUUCAAAAUUUUUAUUUUCUAAACACCGUAGUGGAGAAUAAGAUUAAAAUACUUUUAAUCUGAAUUUUGUAUGCAUAAAAAUAUAAAACCACAUGGAUCUAUUUUAUAUGCUGAAAUUGAUAUAUGCUGAAAUUCAGAUUGUGAUCAAAUCACAUACCUGUUUCACAAUUUCUUUCUUCAAAACUAGAUCUGGAAGAGACGAGGCUCUCUGUUAGCCGCACAAAUAUCCGGCCUCUACGAGUAUCCACUCAGGAUUAGCCUGAAACAACCCUCUAUAAUUUAAAUUUUGAUUUUUCAAAAUUCAGCCCAUUGAAUUUGAACGAAGCUUGGAUCGCGAUCAACACUUGAUCUUUCUUCUUGAUCUUCUUUUUUUCCUCUUCUCUAGAGUUUUUCCUUGCUAUGUGCUACUACCAGAUGCUAAAAAUCAGCAAGGAAGAGACAUCCAAACUCCUCUGGGCGUGGAACUUCUUGGGAUGCAUGUCCCAAGGAAGGGGUGUAUAGAACACCCAAGAGAAGAGAAAGGGAAAGGAAGAGAGUGCGUGGGGAGAGCAUUUGGAUAUGAGGGGCUACUGGUUUUGAUGCUCUAGGGACCUUAGGGGAGGUCUCUUUAAAUAGGCAUAAGGAUUGAAUCCUAUUCAAUCUCAUAAUAUAAGUCCUACUUGCAUUAGGAUUUCUAUUAACUUAAGUUAUCCAAUUUACAUUAGGAAGCCUAUUAGGCGCCAAUUAUUGGAGCCCUUGCACUCAUAAUUAGAUAUCCUCUUUUACACCCAAAAGACAUUCCAUAUGAAAACCAAAGGCCCUCUAAUUAAUGGACAUGUCCAAAUUGAUCAAAUCAAAAUGGCGCCCCAUAAUAUCUAUCAAGAAGAUUCAUAAGGGACUUGCACCCUUGAUUUAUAUGAUCCAUAAUCUUAGACACCGAAUAAUUAGAGUUUCAUGAAUCUUAUUCAUGUAGGUUAUUAGCAAGUAAUUAAGUUAGAAUUAUCUUAUCAAAUAAGUAAUCCCAACGGAAA